ACACUUGAUUAAAAGCCUUCAACAACCCACCACCACGAUCACUGAUAAAGGUGAUUACCCUUCCCUGCGGUUCCAGGAAAGCCUUUAGGUGCUUGAAGAAAAAAAAAACUAGUUGUCUUCAGUCUCUGAGUCACAGAUACACAGGACUAAAGGGAAGAAACCUGCACAAACAAAAAUAAAUAAAAAGUUAUUGGGGGUCAAUAACUUAUAAAGCAGCGUGCCGCUGCACCGCCAACGGGAGCGUUCCGCUCCAAAAUGUGAAUUUAACAAACAAAAAUAAUAAAUGAAAACAAUUUCAACACAAACAUAAAGCUGAAAAACAAUUACUGGGGGUUAAUAAUUUAUCGGGGGUACCUUUGUCUCCAUUUCUUCCAGUGGCAGAAAGAAUCUGACCCUUGUAAAUGCUCUUUUCAAAUGUACCAUCCACAUAUAAAACAGGGAGAUUGAACUUGAACUUCCAUAAGCCACAAAAACCCUUUGGAACCUAUUAGUAUUCUCCUCAACUUCAAGGACAAAGGAAGACCUUGGAUUAGUCUCCAAAACAGCAUCCUUAUACCAACUUAACAUCGAAAAGGAAUCAGAUUCAGAGCCAUACAUCUUUUCCAAACACCUUUUCUUUGCUCUUGAAGCAACCUUAUAACUAAUUUCAAAACCAUAAGUAGACUUGAAAUUAUUCAUAAUAUCAGCAGGCUUCAAACCAAGGUUAAGGAACACAUUGGACUCAAUGCAUGUCCUAACUAUUUUGGACCCUAACUGUCGAUGAGUUUGAUUCCUAAGCACACCUUUACAAGUAUGUAUGUUAUUAAACUCCUUAAUAUAAAAACAAUUAUUUAUAGGAGCCACAGAUCCAAUUACUUCCCAGCCACAUUUUUCAGUUCCAUGAUUUUCACAAACAGCUCUGACAUAGAGUGAAUCAUUCCUAGGUAGCACAUAACAAAAACCAGUUUGAACCGCAUACUUCCUAAGUUUAUCUCGAAAAAUCCUGAACACUUUCAAACUUCUGCCCCUUGUGUAAAAGGUAAGAACCCCAAUC
rnacentral:lncRNA from 1 species